rnacentral:rRNA from 1 species
GAUGAACGCUGGCGGCGUGCCUAAUACAUGCAAGUCGAGCGAACAGACGAGGAGCUUGCUCCUUCGACGUUAGCGGCGGACGGGUGAGUAACACGUAGGUAACCUACCUAUAAGACUGGGAUAACUUCGGGAAACCGGAGCUAAUACCGGAUAAUAUUUCGAACCGCAUGGUUCGAUAGUGAAAGAUGGCUUUGCUAUCACUUAUAGAUGGACCUGCGCCGUAUUAGCUAGUUGGUAAGGUAACGGCUUACCAAGGCAACGAUACGUAGCCGACCUGAGAGGGUGAUCGGCCACACUGGAACUGAGACACGGUCCAGACUCCUACGGGAGGCAGCAGUAGGGAAUCUUCAGCAAAGGGCGAAAGCCUGACGGAGCAACGCCGCGUGAGUGAUGAAGGUCUUCGGAUCGUAAAACUCUGUUAUUAGGGAAGAACAAACGUGUAAGUAACUGUGCACGUCUUGACGGUACCUAAUCAGAAAGCCACGGCUAACUACGUG